CCCUCAUAUUAAGCCCGAAUGGUACUUCCUAUUUGCAUAUGCAAUUCUACGAUCAAUUCCCAAUAAACUAGGAGGGGUUCUAGCCCUAAUCUUCUCUAUCUUAAUCUGGUUUCCUCAUUCCUUUUCUU